CCUCAGGUAGCCUAAUCGGACAGGGCGUCGGACUUCUUAUCUGAAGAUUGCGAGUUCAAGUAUAGCUGUGAGUG